GAUGAACGCUGGCGGCGUGCCUAAUACAUGCAAGUCGAGCGAACAGACGAGGAGCUUGCUCCUCUGACGUUAGCGGCGGACGGGUGAGUAACACGUGGAUAACCUACCUAUAAGUCUGGGAUAACUUCGGGAAACCGGCGCUAAUACCGGAUAAUAUAUUGAACCGCAUGGUUCAAUAGUGAAAGACGGUUUUGCUGUCACUUAUAGAUGGAUCCGCGCCGCAUUAGCUAGUUGGUAAGGUAACGGCUUACCAAGGCAACGAUGCGUAGCCGACCUGAGAGGGCGGUCGGCCACACUGGAACUGAAACACGGACCAGACUCCUAAGGGAGGCAGCAGUAGGGAAUCUUCCGCAAUGGGCGAAAGCCUGACGGAACAACGCCGCGUGAGUGAUGAAGGUCUUCGGAUCGUAAAAAUCUGUUAUUAGGGAAGAACAGAUGUGUAAGUAACUAUGCACGUCUUGACGGUACCGAAUCAGAAAGCCACGGCUAACUACGUG
rnacentral:rRNA from 1 species